rnacentral:rRNA from 2 species
GCGUUAAGUUGCAGGGUAUAGACCCGAAACCCGGUGAUCUAGCCAUGGGCAGGUUGAAGGUUGGGUAACACUAACUGGAGGACCGAACCGACUAAUGUUGAAAAAUUAGCGGAUGACCUGUGGCUGGGGGUGAAAGGCCAAUCAAACCGGGAGAUAGCUGGUUCUCCCCGAAAGCUAUUUAGGUAGCGCCUCGUGAAUUCAUCUCCGGGGGUAGAGCACUGUUUCGGCUAGGGGGCCAUCCCGGCUUACCAACCCGAUGCAAACUGCGAAUACCGGAGAAUGUUAUCACGGGAGACACACGGCGGGUGCUAACGUCCGUCGUGAAGAGGGAAACAACCCAGACCGCCAGCUAAGGUCCCAAAGUCAUGGUUAAGUGGGAAACGAUGUGGGAAGGCCCAGACAGCCAGGAUGUUGGCUUAGAAGCAGCCAUCAUUUAAAGAAAGCGUAAUAGCUCACUGGUCGAGUCGGCCUGCGCGGAAGAUGUAACGGGGCUAAACCAUGCACCGAAGCUGCGGCAGCGAACGUAUCACCCAAGACAACUUUACGGAGUUGACGAUUGACGGAGCGAAGCGACGUCAAAGCGUUCAUUAAAGUCGAGUUGGCUUAGGGAUACGUUCGUUGGGUAGGGGAGCGUUCUGUAAGCCUGUGAAGGUGUGUCGUGAGGCAUGCUGGAGGUAUCAGAAGUGCGAAUGCUGACAUAAGUAACGAUAAAGCGGGUGAAAAGCCCGCUCGCCGGAAGACCAAGGGUUCCUGUCCAACGUUAAUCGGGGCAGGGUGAGUCGACCCCUAAGGCGAGGCCGAAAGGCGUAGUCGAUGGGAAACGGGUUAAUAUUCCCGUACUUGGUGUUACUGCGAAGGGGGGACGGAGAAGGCUAUGUUGGCCGGGCGACGGUUGUCCCGGUUUAAGCGUGUAGGUGUGUGUUCCAGGUAAAUCCGGUUCACUUUAACACUGAGGCGUGACGACGAGGCACUACGGUGCUGAAGCAACAAAUGCCCUGCUUCCAGGAAAAGCCUCUAAGCAUCAGGUAACACGAAAUCGUACCCCAAACCGACACAGGUGGUCAGGUAGAGAAUACCAAGGCGCUUGAGAGAACUCGGGUGAAGGAACUAGGCAAAAUGGUGCCGUAACUUCGGGAGAAGGCACGCUGACACGUAGGUGAAGUGAUUUACUCAUGGAGCUGAAGUCAGUCGAAGAUACCAGCUGGCUGCAACUGUUUAUUAAAAACACAGCACUGUGCAAACACGAAAGUGGACGUAUACGGUGUGACGCCUGCCCGGUGCCGGAAGGUUAAUUGAUGGGGUCAGCGUAAGCGAAGCUCCUGAUCGAAGCCCCGGUAAACGGCGGCCGUAACUAUAACGGUCCUAAGGUAGCGAAAUUCCUUGUCGGGUAAGUUCCGACCUGCACGAAUGGCGUAAUGAUGGCCAGGCUGUCUCCACCCGAGACUCAGUGAAAUUGAACUCGCUGUGAAGAUGCAGUGUACCCGCGGCAAGACGGAAAGACCCCGUGAACCUUUACUAUAGCUUGACACUGAACAUUGAGCCUUGAUGUGUAGGAUAGGUGGGAGGCUUUGAAGUGUGGACGCCAGUCUGCAUGGAGCCGACCUUGAAAUACCACCCUUUAAUGUUUGAUGUUCUAACGUGGACCCGUAAUCCGGGUUGCGGACAGUGUCUGGUGGGUAGUUUGACUGGGGCGGUCUCCUCCUAAAGAGUAACGGAGGAGCACGAAGGUUGGCUAAUCCUGGUCGGACAUCAGGAGGUUAGUGCAAUGGCAUAAGCCAGCUUGACUGCGAGCGUGACGGCGCGAGCAGGUGCGAAAGCAGGUCAUAGUGAUCCGGUGGUUCUGAAUGGAAGGGCCAUCGCUCAACGGAUAAAAGGUACUCCGGGGAUAACAGGCUGAUACCGCCCAAGAGUUCAUAUCGACGGCGGUGUUUGGCACCUCGAUGUCGGCUCAUCACAUCCUGGGGCUGAAGUAGGUCCCAAGGGUAUGGCUGUUCGCCAUUUAAAGUGGUACGCGAGCUGGGUUUAGAACGUCGUGAGACAGUUCGGUCCCUAUCUGCCGUGGGCGCUGGAGAACUGAGGGGGGCUGCUCCUAGUACGAGAGGACCGGAGUGGACGCAUCACUGGUGUUCGGGUUGUCAUGCCAAUGGCACUGCCCGGUAGCUAAAUGCGGAAGAGAUAAGUGCUGAAAGCAUCUAAGCACGAAACUUGCCCCGAGAUGAGUUCUCCCUGAGACUUAGAGUCUCCUGAAGGAACGUUGAAGACGACGACGUUGAUAGGCCGGGUGUGUAAGCGCAGCGAUGCGUUGAGCUAACCGGUACUAAUGAACCGUGAGGCUUAACCUUACA